UAUCGCGAGGUGGAAUCUGAAGGAAGCUGUAAGCAAAUCUCUGGUCUGACGGACAGAAAUCACAUAUAAGGCUAGGCUACGAGAGAUAAGUUGGCUAAAAGCAACAAAGUCUAAUAACUAUCACAUUUGUAGCAGGUAAAGUU
rnacentral:ncRNA from 1 species